rnacentral:rRNA from 1 species
AAAAAUCCGUCCCGCAUGGGUCCGAGGUGCGAUGAUGGGGGCCUUAUGGCCCGAUAUCCGGUGAUCCCGGCUGCCGAGAAAAGCUUCGGCGUCAGGCUCAAAGCCGCCCGUACCCCAAACCGACACUGGUGGUCAGGUAGAGAAUACCAAAGCGAUCGAGCGAAUCCUGGUCAAGGAACUCGGCAAAUCACUCCCGUUCCUUCGGUUUAAGGGAGACCCCCGAUGGUGAACACACUUGCUGUGGGAGCUUUUGGGGGUGGCACAGACCAGGGGGUAGCGACUGUUUACCAAAAACACAGGUGCAUGCGAAGGCGCAAGCCGCUGUAUAUGCACUGACGCCUGCCCGGUGCCGGAAGGUUAAGAGGAUCCGUCAGCCUUCGGGUGAAGCGGUGAAUUCAAGCCCCGGUAGACGGCGGUGGUAACAAUAACCAUCCUAAGGUAGCGAAAUUCCUUGUCGGGUAAGUUCCGACCUGCACGAAUGGCGUAACGACUUCCCCACUGUCUCGACCAGGAGCUCGGCGAAAUUGCAGUACGAGUAAAGAUGCUCGUUAAGCGCAGAAGGACGAAAAGACCCCGGGACCUUUACUAUACCUUGGUAUUGGCAUUCGGUGUGGAUUGUGUAGCAUAGGCGGGAGGCCGAGAGGCGCGGUCGCCAGAUCGCGCGGAGCCGUAAGGUGAAAUACCGCUCUGUUCGCAUUGGAUGUCUAACCUCGAACAGUCAUCCUGUUCAGGGACAGUGCCUGGCGGGUAGUUUAACUGGGGCGGUUGCCUCCCAAAGAGUAACGGAGGCGCCCAAAGGUCCGCUCAGCCCGGUUGGCAAUCGGGUGGCGAGUGCAAGUGCACAAGCGGGCUUGACUGCGAGGACGACGGUCCGAGCAGGGACGAAAGUCGGGACUAGUGAUCCGGUGCCGGUGUACGGACGCGGCAUCGCUCAACGGAUAAAAGGUACCCCGGGGAUAACAGGCUGAUCAUUCCCAAGAGUCCAUAUCGACGGGAUGGUUUGGCACCUCGAUGUCGGCUCGUCGCAUCCUGGGGCUGGAGCAGGUCCCAAGGGUUCGGCUGUUCGCCGAUUAAAGCGGCACGCGAGCUGGGUUCAGAACGUCGUGAGACAGUUUGGUCUCUAUCCUCUGCGCUCGUUGGAAUGCUGAGGAGGCCUGCCCAUAGUACGAGAGGACCUGGGUGGACGAACCUCUGGUAUGCCGGUUGUCACGCCAGUGGCACGGCCGGUUGGCUACGUUCGGAAGGGAUAACCGCUGAAAGCAUCUAAGCGGGAAGCCUGCUCCAAGAUAAGCAUUCCGUGGAACCUUCGAGUUCCUGUAGUCCCCAUGCAGAACACGUGGUCGAUAGGCCAGACGUGGAAGCCCCGCGAGGGGUGGAGCCGACCGGUACUAACGGACGAAAGGCAACAUUAA